rnacentral:lncRNA from 10 species
CUGUGAGCUGUGACUGCAAGAGUCAGCACCUAAAUUAGAUCAACACUACAACAUCAAAAAGCCAGCUUGAUGGCACAGCGGGGAGUGAGGAAGACUCGGUGGACAAAUCUGACUGGAAAACAAGUAGGCGUUGCAGAUGAAGACCUGGAACCAUGGUAGGAAGUGGGACAGGGAGCAUUUGGACAAGCUGUUCAAGAACUGAUCAUGCUCAUGUGUAUGGGAAAACAGAUGGAGGAAGAGAAAUUCCUGAAGAGCACAAGACUGGUGGGGCAAGGAAC